CCAAAUUCGUUGAGAAUCGGCCAAAUCGUCGACAAUCGGCCUUUUUUUCGGCCAAAUCGUUGAGAAUCGGCCUUUUUUUUCGGCAAAAUAAAUCGAGCAGUUGCAGGGGAAGGACGUGCGUCCGUUGCUCUUCGCUGAAACGUGCGUUCCGUGGUGAUAAUUAAGAAAUCCGCGGUAACUAUUACACAUAACAUAAGUUAUUUCUAUGAUGUGGAAAUAGUUGCCAUGUUUGCAAUCGCUUUUUUGCAAAUGAAGCAGCGUCGCAGAAGAAAAUCGAAGCAACGCAGGGCAGCAGGAAGGCUGAAGCUGAAGUCGUGGAAAAGCAGAAAGAAAUGGGAGAAGACAAAUCGAAAAAGCGCACAUAAGAACUUGGGUGAAUCAUGGAGAUACUUCUGCAAGUGCCAUUGAUAACAGAAAGUAAAAGGAGCGUAAUGAGUGAGUGUUAGGUGGGGUGAGACGUAAAAGCUAGGUGUGAGAAAGGACAAGCAUAAAAGGUGCGCCAAGCGUACCGGAGAAGCAGAUCAACAGCGAAAACCUGGGUGAAAUGCUUCUGAGGACUGACGAAACAUCGAGUAGAAUUACCUUGGCCGCCAAAAGGAUCCUCACCGUUCUUCAGCAGGCAUGGAACGUCGAACAGCGCACCGCUCGGCCCCUCCAAUCCCAGACCACUGAAAGCAGCGCCGAAGGACUCACCAAUGGCCAAAUUGGUGGGAAAAAACUGCGGCAGAACUCUCGACCGGAGACACAGCAACAGCAAAGUCGGCGUCAACAGACACCGGCAACAAUUCACCGGGAGUUCACCGGGAAGAACAACGGCGGCUAAAGAUGGAGGAAAGAUAAUAUCUGUUGAAUUUACUGCUAUCAGUUACGGUAUCGGUAUUGGCAAUAAUUAUUCAUCUCGCCAACAGGAUAAAACAAAACGUUCAAAAAGAAAAGACUGCUGAAACAGUACAAAAAAGAACAGGAACAAACAACAAGGAACAGGAAAAAGAGGAUGAUGUACAAGUAAUAUAAACUGUGAUAGAUUAAAUUAAGAUAGAAACCGUAAGAUUAAGAUAGAUACCCAUAAACAGUUCCUAAUAAAAGAAAUUUGAAACAUACAUUCGUGCUAGCUACGUAGGGUAACAGAAAGGCCAAAUGAUUUCUGUUCUUUGAGAGAUUGGAGUCUGUUACGUGUGCUGUAUCCUAUUUCUACAUUAAGUAAAAGAAACACAAUCGUGCAUUAGUUUAUUUCUAUAGCAGGUUACUCUUACCUUACGCUCUCUCGUUAGCCCCUCGUCUGUUAUGGCCGUUACCUUCACGUCCUCGACUGCACCAUAUGGUUUGAGGGGCCACAUCGCCUGCUCAUUAAUCGGAUACAGCUCCGCCACUUAAUGAUAAAAUAAAAUGAUAAAAUGCUGUUUUGA